rnacentral:rRNA from 1 species
GUAGGUGGCAAGCGUUGUCCGGAAUUAUUGGGCGUAAAGCGCGCGCAGGCGGUUCGUUUAAGUCUGAUGUGAAAGCCCACGGGCUCAACCGUGGAGGGUCAUUGGAAACUGGAGAACUUGAGUACAGAAGAGGAAAGCGGAAUUCCACGUGUAGCGGUGAAAUGCGUAGAGAUGUGGAGGAACACCAGUGGCGAAGGCGGCUUUCUGGUCUGUAACUGACGCUGAGGCGCGAAAGCGUGGGGAGCAAACAGGAUUAGAUACCCUGGUAGUCCACGCCGUAAACGAUGAGUGCUAAGUGUUAGGGGGUUUCCGCCCCUUAGUGCUGCAGCUAACGCAUUAAGCACUCCGCCUGGGGAGUACGGCCGCAAGGCUG